AACUACUCUCUGUAGUGGCUUUGCCUGAGUAAUUGCAUUUUCUCUAUUUUUCUUUUCUAGGUGUGAAAUGUGAGCAAUAAUUACUUCCUGCACUGCAAAGCUAUUGAGAAGUUUCAAGGCAUACAGUUCUGGGUGACGAGAAGCAAAACUGAAUGAGUAGAAGAAAUGUGAUCAGAAAAACAAUAAGAGCACGCCUUGAUCUGUUUGAAGGAAAAGGAAGAGAGAUCAGAGAGGAGUAUGACUUGAUGAGUCAGGUGAAGUUAGGACCUAUCAAGAUGGUGUACUGAAAGGCGUAUUUAGGAGCUGUAAGAAGCUGGACUUAAUCUUACAGGUUUCCAAGUAUCCUUGCUGAGCUUCUGAGUAUUCCUAAUUUAUAUAGAUAUCAGAGGAAACAGAGCAUAUUAACAAUAUAAGCUAAAUGAUACGCAGAUUUUUAAGUCUUUCAGAGAACAAGCAGCUCAUGCUGUAAAGUUCUUAGAUCUUCUAUUGAAGACAGAUAUUUAAAAGCAUUGAUUAACGAGAAAAUAAUAAUUGCUCUAGAUGAAAACAUGAAAUAUUUAACACCAUCCAGGCAGAUCACACUCAAUGUAUUUCUUGUAAACAAAACAAUCACAUUUUGAAAGUAAAUAGAAGCAUUCUCUCAGGCAAAGCCAUAGAAGUAACUGAAUAAAUACAGCAUAAGAAAUAAGCA
rnacentral:lncRNA from 1 species